CGCACAACAAAACACAAACACGGACGACCAAAGCUCCUUCUUUCCCAAUAUCCACAUUAUGUGGCCGUGCACAUCCUUACCGCCACACACUCUCUUUUCCUCCAUUCCCUCUUUUCCUGUCUGAUCAUUCCCUCCAUCUCCCUCCUCCCAUGGCCAAAACCACCACUGCUCCCUCCCACCUCACUCCUUUUACUCAAAACCACUCCUUCAACUCUCCACCGCGAACCACCAUCUCUUUUUGGCACCGACCCACUUACCCUCCAUCCUUUGCAUUGCCCAUAAACUGCCAUUUUGUUGCUCCUUCAUGUAAGACACUCAAGUCUAACUGUAGAAUAGUGUGCAAGGCAACAGAGGUGUCGUUGACUGAAGAGUCACCGUCUUCUGGUGGAGAGAAUUGGGUUCCAGUUGUGCCACUGACUGCCCUGCCUAAGGGAGAAAGAAGAGUGAUUAUUCAAGAUGGAGAGACUAUACUGUUGCUAUGGUAUAAAGACCAGGUUUAUGCAAUUGAGAAUCGGUCUCCUGCAGAAGGGGCCUAUACUGAAGGUCUGCUUAAUGCCAAGCUCACACAGGAUGGUUGCAUAGUUUGUCCAUCAACUGAUAGCACUUUUGAUCUUCGGACUGGAGCCAUCAAAGAAUGGUAUCCAAAUAACCCCGUGCUUAGAGUUCUCACACCUGCUCUGAGAACGCUUUUCGUGUAUCCUGUGAAAACUGAUGAAGAAAAUAUCUACAUCAGUAUCAGUGGAGGUGUAAAAUCUGAUGUGUCUGCUGAGAUUGUCUUCAGUGGGAAGGCUCAACCUGGUGUGACAGCAUCUGAUGUCAACGUCGACGAGGUGAGAAUGGUAAUCGAUGAGGGUCAAGAGGGGUUCGGUUUCACCAGCAAGAAUGAAUUGAUAAAUGGGCAGGCAGCCAUAAUUGGCUUCUUGUUUUUGAUAGAUUUUGAACUCUUGACUGGUAAAGGUGUUCUCAAGGGAACAGGCUUCUUGGACUUCCUAUAUGCUGCUUCUAAUGGUUUCAAUUAAACCAUUGGGAUCCCUCUUUCGAAAAGGAUACAGUCUUUGAUCCAUACAAAGGCAAGCUCUUCUCUAUGAAAUCAUUCUUAAAGCUGCAUGCUUGGAAGGGGUUAGAAAGAGUGGUUCCUGAUUUUAACAAUUUGAUUGUUAAUGAGACAAAUGAUGAUAUGGAGGUGGAGCUUCUGAACAAGAAACGUAUAUUGAAAUGGGAGAGUUGCUUAUACAUGAGAGACAAAUGAUUCAAUGUAAUAUGUUUUUCAAAUGAUUCAAUGUAAUAUGUUUUUUAAAAUGAUACGAGAUAUAUUAGUCGCUA